GGGGGGGGGGGGCGGUGGGGCUAACAGAUGCGAGUCGGACGGCAGCACAGUAAGAGCUUGCUCUUACGGGUGGCGAGUGGCGGACGGGUGAGGAAUACAUCGGAAUCUACUUUUUCGUGGGGGAUAACGUAGGGAAACUUACGCUAAUACCGCAUACGACCUACGGGUGAAAGCAGGGGAUCUUCGGACCUUGCGCGAUUGAAUGAGCCGAUGUCGGAUUAGCUAGUUGGCGGGGUAAAGGCCCACCAAGGCGACGAUCCGUAGCUGGUCUGAGAGGAUGAUCAGCCACACUGGAACUGAGACACGGUCCAGACUCCGACGGGAGGCAGCAGUGGGGAAUAUUGGACAAUGGGCGCAAGCCUGAUCCAGCCAUACCGCGUGGGUGAAGAAGGCCUUCGGGUUGUAAAGCCCUGUUGUUGGGAAAGAAAAGCAGCAGGUUAAUACCCCGCUGUUCUGACGGUACCCAAAGAAUAAGCACCGGCUAACUUCGUG
rnacentral:rRNA from 1 species